ACCAGGUGGUGCAUUGUUCAAUUCUUGCCUCAAGUUAGCAGCAAGCCCAAUGACAGGUGGAUCCGUAUGCAUUUCCUUUCGAGCAUUAGCUGAACUACCAAUGACAUGAUGAUCAGUAGGAAAUUCGUUCUGUGGAUUGGGGGGAACUCUA